rnacentral:rRNA from 1 species
AUGGACGGCGUUGAAGACAAGUUGAAGCGCAUGAAUCUCUCGGAGGCUGAGAGGAGGGGUGUGAAAAUCGGCUGGAGGAGAGCGGCGGAGCAGAAGGGGAGUGUGGCUAAAGCAAUGGGGAAGUUGUUCUCUAAUAAACCGGGACAUGUAGGAGGUAUGGAGCUGGCGCUAGGCAAGAUUUGGUGCCCGAUGAAGAGGCUGGAGGUGAAGGAGAUGGGAGAGAACCGAUUCUUGUUCCUUUUUCAUCAGGAGGCGGGGAAGAGAAAAGCACUGGAUAAUGGCCCAUGGACCUUUGGCAAGGAGCUGCUCGUGAUGGAAGACUUCGAUCCUCGCAAAACACUAGAGGAUUACACUUUCGACACGGUGCCGAUCUGGGCGAGAAUCUACAAUGUUCCGCUGGGAAUGAUGUGUCGGGAGGUGGGGGAAGACUUGGGGGAAGAAAUUGGUAAAUUGAUGGAGGUUGAUGCUGGCGAGGAUGGGACGGCAUUGGGUAAAUGCUUGAGGGUAAAAGUGAAGAUCAAAGUCACUGAACCUCUCAUGAGGGGACUGUACCUAGACGUGGAACCGGAAGAGGGGGAAACAGGGAGUGACAUGGAGGUAGGCAUGACCGAUGGAGAGAGAUCGAAAAAGGAUAAGGAAGGGAGGAUCUGGUGCCAUUUUGAGUACGAAUAUUUGCCUGAUUUCUGCUAUACUUGUGGGAGGCUUGGUCAUGUGGACAGAGAGUGCAGCAUCAGGCUGAGAAAGGGCCAGAAAGCUGAGUUUGGAAGAUGGCUGAAGUAUGUGCCGGAAAGAGCUCAUGUCAAUGAGGCAGGAAGAACAAACUGGAGAGAAAACAGUGGUGGCAGUUCAGGCAGGAGGUAUGGGUGGCUGAAUAGCGAGGGGAGGUCUAGGAGUGAUGUGGAGUCCUGGAAGAAAUCGAGUGGAAGUGGGGGAGACAAGGAAAAGAAGAGCACGAUCAAAACUUAA